GCAGUUGUAGCUCAGUGGAUUAGAGCGUCUGGUUGCGGUCCAGAAGGUCGGAGGUUCGAGUCCUCCCAAUUGCACCA
rnacentral:tRNA from 1 species